GGCUCUUGGCCGUACGGGGUCGACCUCCUCUUUUUGGCGAUGGCUCUUGGCCGUAGGGGUCGACCUCUUCUUUUUUGGCGAUGGCUCUUGGCCGUACGGGGUCGACCUCCUCUUUUUGGCGAUGGCUCUUGGCCGUACGGGGUCGACCUCCUCUUUUUGGCGAUGGCUCUUGGCCGUUGGGAUCUAUCUCUUCUUUUUUGGCGAUGGCCCUUGGUCUUAAAGGGUGUUAUUUCGAACUUAUCGAAAUGUUAACCCGUUAUUUUACAGUCAGAUUUUGGAGAACCGCAGGUCGCCGUACUGUUCGUGCAUAUGUCGGGGUGAAUCCCGGCGUACUGAAUUUUGUUUUUACUGGAGAAUAUUUGGCUUACUUGCCCCUGUGACUUGUUUUCUUCCUAGAACUGUAAAGCAUAAGCCAACAAUAAUAGUUAAAAGAAUAUCUCCUUAACUAUGUUUUAUAUAUUACUGGCUGAAUAUCCUCUUCUAGAAUCUGUACCAAUAACAAUCAAGUACGUCCAUAUAAAUUUGUUAAGCCAUAAAAGCAAGUCAUACCCUGAGCACGACUAUGAAAGAUGGUAAAUCGAAUCAGCAGCAAAAGUGAGUAUAUAGUCAUGCACGUUCGCUAGCUGGACAAGAUAUUAUUAGCAAUCAACAUGCGUUUUCCAUGUAAGUUACUUCCCUGAAUAGGAAAUGCAACCAUAAGGAAGCUAAGAUUCAUAAUCAUAAGCCUCUAACACAGACAAUGUUUAAAACCUGUAACAACGGAAGCAAGAAUUGAAGACCAAGAAAACUAUGGCAUAAAAUAUCAUAACUAGAACCCAAAAAGAAGGGAGUCCCAUUUUUGCUUAGCUUCUGCGUUUCUUGGGUGAGUCCCAGUUUGCUUAAUUUUUUUUCUUGCGCAUGGGGAAUACGAUGCGUUCCCUGUGUGAGUUCCAGUUUGCUUAAUUUUAUUUUCAUUGGAGAAUACGAUGCGUUUCCCGGGUGAUUGCUCCUGCUUUUAUUUUACUUGGAGAAAUAGUUAGUUAAAACAAAAUGAAAGCGUUUGUUACCUCGAUUUGAUCGGUCAACGAGUGGAGAGGAGUGACCAUGUUCCCUUCUCCGGUUAUGCUUUCAGUAGCUGCUACCAAUUUGGCGUGGUUGUCCGCUUUAGUAAAAUUUUAUGUCUACAAUUGGGUUUGUUGUUGUAGAGGCUAUGAAGAUUUUAUCUUCCAUGUACUUCUUCGUCUUCCUUUUCUCUUUGUGUUGCUGCUACCGUAUCUUGGCGAGACGGUACGAUAUGGCUUCUUAUAGCAAACUGGUGCCUGCAGCCAUGGCGGCAUCGCCUUAUCUUUUGCUUAGUUCAAACACGCCAAAUCCAAGCCCUCAAUACCCAAUUCAUGUUCUUCCAGGGUAAGUCUUUAUUCUCUUUUUAAGAGAGAUUUUAACCCAAAGACUCUUGUAGGUCUCAUUUUAAGACCGUAACCCGAGACUUUUUAACCGAAAGGACCAUGUAAUUCUUGAUUUAA
rnacentral:lncRNA from 1 species